rnacentral:rRNA from 1 species
UACGUAGGGGGCAAGCGUUGUCCGGAUUUAUUGGGCGUAAAGAGCGUGUAGGCGGUUUGGUAGGUCCGCUGUGAAAACUCGAGGCUCAACCUCGAGACGCCGGUGGAAACCAUCAGACUAGAGUCCGGAAGAGAAGAGUGGAAUUCCUGGUGUAGCGGUGAAUUGCGCAGAUAUCAGGAAGAACACCCGUGGCUAAGGCGGCUCUCUAGUACGGUACUGACGCUGAGACGCGAAAGCGUGGGGAGCGAACAGG